GUCUUGUGGCAGCCGAGACCACGUGUUCCGUGUCCCAUGGGACCUCCAUUCCGUACCGAUCAUCUGGCAGCUCCGGUAAUGGGCACCGGGAGGCCCGCGUUUACCGUCAGAAACACAGACCGGAGAGGGAUAACAACUAAUAUCUGCAUCUCCCCGCUCGACAUCGAUCAGCGGCGCGAGGCCAGCAGCAGAGAGCUCAUCCCACCUUGGUGUGAGUUCAGAGCACCACAGGCCACACAAGGAGCGGUGACACUGACAGCAUGUACACGCAGUGGCGGACGUGCAAACACUUAACCUAACGCGUGUGAGACGGAGCACCAGGCAUGUGUUCACACAAAUACAAGGCAAGUGUGCGGCGGACAAACACACACUGCACACAAAGUACACAUAUGGACGCAUGGAUAUAAUAAUAAAUAAAUAAAACAGUCUCUUCAUCUCUGCCAUCCCCCCCAAAAAUGCCUCAGCUGGUCUGCUGAUCGUUCUGGUCCAGCACACUCACUCACACACACACACACACACACACACACACACACACACACACACACACACACACACACACACACACACACACACACACACACACACACACCAGCAUCUGAAGAGUCAAACUCCCCAUCUCAGACUAAUCAGUUGACUGCACUAAUUGCAAAUGCAAAUAUGCAAAUUUAUAUUAAUUAAUUACUCCACUAAUUAGUUCUCUUGUCUUUUCAGGUAAUAAAUCAUGGUGUGGUUGAGAGAAAGAGAGAAAGAGAGACAUGGCAGUGAUCUUUUGUCUGCUAGAAUCCUUGUUUCAGGUCUGAUUCUGAUACAGCGAUGUCUGCAGGACAGAUUUUUAUCAAACCGUCCUCCGCUGUGAUUCCUUUCCUUUUUCUCCACAACACUUCUAACUUAGUCAAUUAUUGCCUUUGAUAUUCCAUGUGUUAUACUUCAAGGGUGCGAGCGUUGUAAUUUGAGAGGUAUAACAAAUAGCAGAGGUUGGUAAAUCGGAGCAUCUCGCUGACAGUUCUUGCCUGUCAGCUCUUUUAAUUAUCACAUUAUCAGCUUUUAUAGGCACGGUGUGCGGUGCAGAGCUGCAAAUGAAGCCGCCACAGAUCGCACGCUGAGUUGCAAGCAUUUCUCAAUUGAUGUCAGCAGUUAAAGGGGAAUUUGCGUCUGGAUAAUGAGUGCAAGGUGAAGUGGUUGAGAAGAUGGUGGUGGUGUGGCGCUGCAACAUGAUUCGGUCCAAAAUAUCACUCAGAGUUCGGUCGUAGAGGUCGUUUCUGUUGUACAGUCCCGUGUGGCAACUCUAAAGCAAAGUGUUUUUUGUAAUCUUGACACUGACUCUGUAAUGAGCUCCAUAAUGUUAAUUUUCAGUUUCUCGGUGAACUAACAACUCUCACUAUUUAUUUUGCGUCGCCUUCCACUCAGCUGCCUGUACAAUUAACUCAACCCAAAACACAAAAGCUAAAUGAGGAAGUGCUUACAAUGUGCCACACACAAGUGCAAGUCAUUUAUUCUGAGUACUUGUUGAUGAUCAGAUGAACGCUUCAGUUGGUGCUGAUAAUAAUUCUACAUUCUCCCUCUCACACCAUAAACCUGUUGUUUGCCAGAGUUAUUGUCUUUUCAGCGUUUAUGAUGUUUCCAAAUCUCUCUCUUGUAAUAUGUCAAGUGUGCACAUUUUCCCCCUUUUCCUUUAUUUAUCCAUGUGGAAGUUUCACAUCUUAUUUCAGAGGAGGCUGUGUUACAAUAUUAGACUAAAUGCUGUCUCUUAAAAAUGACAUACAUUUUCUGCUAAUUUGUUUUUCUCACAUGCAUUUUUGCCUCCUGAGAGCAGCAUGUCAUCACAUUUAGGCAACAAAUCACUCCGGUGAAGAUUGAAGGAGCAAAUGUGGUACAUCUAGUUUUGCAGUUAGACUUAGUAGGAAUGCUUUGCAAGUUGCCUUUUUUUUUUUUUUUAAUGUAAAUAAAUCCUGAAGAAAUACAGGCGGUUGUAUAUUUGUCUGUGGGCAUAUCUUCUGUUACCAGAAUGUACACGAAAUGUAGUUUCUAGGAGACAGAUUUUCAUUUACAAGCUGAGAAAAAUGAUCACACAUGCUGCAUGAAAGAACACGAACCGUGUCCAGCCAAAAUACCAGAUAACAGCAGAGUUAUGGACCAAGCCUUCCGAUUUUUACAGUUAUCCAAUUUAUGAACUUCAAAAUGUUGUUUCAGGUGGAAAGCUCAUCUUCGUUAUGUGGGCAGCUGACAUUUGUAAAACUACAACUCAUUUUAAGGGUUUCUCUGCGUAUCUACACAAAUUUAUAGAAAGAAGCUUUGAAUUUAGAUUUUGUUACCAUGAGCCAAUAAAUCUUGGAGUGGAAAUAUGAUCUCUUUCAAGUGUUUUCAGCAAUAAUCAAUGAUCCAGGAGCUCUGUGGUGACACCGCCAAGUCUGGAAAGUGACUUAAGUAAAGCGGUGAGGUAUACUCUACCGUUCAAAAGUUUGGGGUCACCCAGACAAUUUCAUGUUUUCCAUGAAAACUCACACUUUUAUUCAUGUGCUAACAUAAUUGCACAAGGGUUUUCUAAUCAUCAAUUAGCCUUUCAAUACCAUUAGCUAACACAAUGUAGCAUUAGAACACAGGAGUGAUGGUUGCUGGAAAUGUUCCUCUGUACCCCUAUGAAGAUAUUCCAUUAAAAAUCAGCUGUUUCCAGCUAGAAUAGUCAUUUACCACAUUAACAAUGUCUAGACUGUAUUUCUGAUUAAUGUUAUCUUCAUUGAAAAAAACUGUUUCUUUCAAAAAUAAGGGCAUUUCUAAAUGACCCCACACUUUUGAAUGGUAGUAUAAAUAAUAUAGUCUCUUUUAAUACCUUUGCAGCAACAUAUUUAUGAAGCAUUGAGUUUUCUUAGGUUUAUGGUAAUUCUUCAGAUCCUACAUGUGCCCAACAUGCUUGCUGCAUUUUCUUUGAAAGUAUAGCUUUAGGAAAUAUGUUUGCUCCCUUCCGUACAGAAAUUUAGCUGAGAAGACUGAUGAUAUUCUAAUGUCUGCCUGAUAAAUAAUGCAUGGAGCUGGAGCCGAUCUUAGUUAGCCUUAAAUUAGCGUCAAUCAACACAACUCAUCAAAACAAUGUUCACAACUCAAAAGGUUUAUCUAAAUGGGGAAUUUAAACUUUUAUAGAAAAUUCAACCUUUUGAAUGGUAAUGUAUGUGGUGAGUGUUUUUACUUGAUGCUACUUUACCACCAUUGUUUAAGAUGAAAGAUUUUUGAUUUUUACACAUAAAACAUACAGUCUGUUUAUUGUAUAUGAAGUCUUGUUAUAUAUUAAACUUCCCAAUUGUAUAUAAAGCAGGUCAAACAUUCUUGUAAAGUACAAAACUAAACUACUGAUCACAAAUAAUGUGUCAUCCAUAAACAACAAUCAUUGUGUAAAUGCAGUAAAUAAUCUGUCCGCUACUAGAUGCAACUUGCUCAUAGUAGAAUUGAGAUCCAUGUUGUCAGUGGCCACAAUUAUGCUUCCAAAAUGACUUGGAGUCAAAAGGGAAGACUUGUUGUAACAGCCUCUUAGUGGACAAGUUGGUUUCAGCAGUGAGCUCCAGCACCACCCACCCACUGAAGGCUCACAUGCUGGAUGUGCAGAGGACUGCUGAGGAUUGUGGGACUGAUUACCAGAGGCCAGGUCCUGGACUGGUGUCCUCCAGCUGUGCUGUUCUACCCAAUUAGAAACUCCAUAUGCUGCCCCACUCAGCUGCUGAGUGGCCACACCUCCCACCCACACAGGUGGAGCAUUGUGUGCUCUGUAUGUGCAUGUGUGCGUCUGCCUUUGUUGCUGUCGUCUAUCAACAAAAACACUCCAGCGAGAAUUAGAGAGGAAGCUCCUCCAGUGUCCAUUUCAUUUGGAUCCAUAAUUCCCCGGCAUACAGGAUUAUAAUAACUGCCUCACAGAUCUAAUUACAUUUUGUGUGAUGGUCCACCACUGAAACACUUUCUUACAAUCUCAACUCAUUUCUUAACACACAAAAAAGUAAACUGUCACCACUCCUUUGAUAACAAACAUGCAGGUAUUUAGGUGGGUGGCAUAGAAGUGCUAAUAGUAUUAAAAUAUGGGGAUAUGAAUAAUGGAUAUGUUUUUGAAAAUGUAUAAUGUAAAGAUGUUAGUCCCGUUUUCAGACAGAGACGGGACGCAGACGUGAAAUGUUGCUGGAGGCGCCCGUUUCUUUUUCAAAGCACAAUCUGUUCACACACGUUCAAAGUGGUGGUGACAAUCUGUUGUGGUAGAAUGCGACACUUCCAUACUCAGAAAGUGAUAAGAUAAAUAAAAAUGUGUCAGAUAUCAUAUUUAAGAAAGAGUGUCAUCUUUACUUUCAUAAGCAUUGUCUGAAAUGGAUGAUAAACUCUGUUUGCUGCACUGUAAAACACACGAGGUGGUGUCGAACCCACAGGAACUAUAUAACAUAUGUGAAGAGACAUAAACACAUGAUUUAUUGACAUUUCUCCAAACUGCCUGAGAGCUCUGGAGCAGCAGACGGGAGGGAUGUUUUCCUUUACGAAGUAAGAUCAGAAUCAAAAAGCUCAUGACGUAAACUCCUUUUGAUUUGCACAUGAAUCUACUGGUUGGCCAACUUUUACACGUUUUCACUUUUUUUUUAAUUCCAAGCAUGGAGCUGAGGUGAUUGACAGGGCUGUGAUGUUGUUUUCUCACCUAAUCGACACUCGUGGUGUUGAUACGAUUUCUCUCUCCGUCAUCCCUUCUCUUCACUUUUACUCAUUAGCCUUCAACCAGCUCUAACCUAACCAGCUCCAGUGUUUGUUCUGAGGCAGCUGUAGGCCCCUGUUGUCUUUAUGUACAUGGUUCGGACAGUGUGUUGAUCAUGAUCAUGAUAAUGAUAAUACCUAUGCUGUAAUUUGUUGUUUUUAUUGCUAUCUUCAUUUUUCUCUUUUCUUUCUCUGCUAUUGUUGUCCCUCUUCUUUGGUUCAGUUUUCCUCUGUAUGGACUCUAAAGCACCUUCAACUGUAUACAGCACUAAAUAAAUAAAGCUCAGUUAAGGGGUUCUAUCAUCAGAGGUCCGUACUAUGAUGCAGGAUUUGUCGUUAGUCUGUUAGGUCUGCUGAUGCUGGCUCUGGAUAGGGCCCCUCCUUCCUCUUGUUUUCUUCCUUUUCAGGUAUGCUGAGCACUGUGGCAACGGCAGGUGAGGGCAAUCCUGGAUCAAUCAGCAGAAGCAGGAGCAGGUGUGCCAGAGCCAAUCAGCUGACUUCUCCUACACAAUAUAACCUGACUCCACUCUUUAGUCGAUGCCGGAUCGUGAAUGCCAACAUUCGGACCCACCACCUGCUCCUGCUGCCAACCCAUUCCAACCCACCAGGAUUCAUCUACACCCCCGUCCUCUGUCUACAUCUCUGGAAAUCUCCUGGAACUUCUCCACCACCUCCCAACCUCCGUCCGAGCCUCCACCGCCGUCGCAGCCGCGACCGUCUGACACAGCCCAACAGAACCCUCCUGCCUCGUCUGGUUCUCUGCCUCCCAGCUUCCUGGCUGUCCGCCGUCAGUCAGUCUCAGUUAUGAGCAGUAUCAGUCUUGGUUAAUUAUAUCGUAGGUUUGUAUAGGUUUUCUAGUUCAUUCUAAGUUGUGGAGUAAUGCAUCUCCGGAUUUCUAGUUUUGGUUAUUUGCGGAUAGUUCUCUAAUUCUUGUAUUUUUCUUAAAGCAAUCUUGUUUCAUAGUAAUAUCUGUUUUUGCCGUCUCCUAGUUUUAUAUUCUGGAAUCCGUGUGAGCAUAAUCGCUCUUUAGUUUAGGAAGUUCUUGUAGUCGUUUUCUCUCUCCUGCCCAGGUGUUACCUGCCGUGGGUCAGUUCUCUUGUUGGUAAAUACUCUUUGUUUAGUCUUCCAGCCACUAGAGGCCCUGUAGUUCACAGUCGUUGUUACUGUUUCCGUUUCCCCGUUCUGGGAACACACUUCCGUUGGGAGUCAGGGUACUUGUGUAUUUUGUAAUUGUAAAUAAACCAUUGA